UACGUAGGGUGCGAGCGUUGUCCGGAAUUAUUGGGCGUAAAGAGCUUGUAGGCGGUUUGUCGCGUCUGCUGUGAAAUCUCAAGGCUCAACCUUGAGCUUGCAGCGGGUACGGGCAGACUAGAGUGUGGUAGGGGAGACUGGAAUUCCUGGUGUAGCGGUGAAAUGCGCAGAUAUCAGGAGGAACACCGAUGGCGAAGGCAGGUCUCUGGGCCACUACUGACGCUGAGAAGCGAAAGCAUGGGGAGCGAACAGG
rnacentral:rRNA from 1 species